CUUUGAUCCAUGGUGUGGUAUGGUUUGAGGAAAAAAGAGAAAACCCAUUUGCCCCAUAUUGAUUGUAAUCUAUUCUUUAAUUAAAAUCUUUGGUUUCUUGGAGGGUAUUGAAAAAAAUACCCAUAUUGCUGUUUGCCAAAUCUCCAAUGCAGUCUUUGAGAAAAUCACAAAGACGAGAAAAUAGCAUCAGUAGGAAGACAACCCAGGAAAGAAAUAGUAGUGGUGGAUCUCAGAAAGAAAUAGAAAGAUUGGAUAACAACGGCCGUGGAUCUGAUGGUGGCUGGGGCAUUAUUGGGAUUGGAAGGAGUCAAGCAGCUGAUAAUUUGUUGUUGUGGAAGUGGUGCUGCUAGGGUAGUGGAGGUGUCGCUGCAUAGGAGAGGAAUAUGCAGCUUCACAUCUCGCCUAGCAUGAGAAGCAUCACGAUAUCGAGCAGCAGCAGCAAUGGGUUUAUUGACUUGAUGAAGAUCAAGGUCGCAGCUCGCCACAUCUCUUAUCGAACCCUUUUUCAUACCAUCCUCAUUCUCGCUUUUCUGUUGCCUUUUGUCUUCAUUCUCACCGCUCUUGUCACCCUUGAAGGUGUCAACAAGUGCUCUUCAUUUGAUUGUUUAGGUAGGCGACUGGGACCAAGGCUUCUGGGUAGAGUGGAUGAUUC
rnacentral:misc_RNA from 1 species